AUGUAUGUACCGCAAACAAUCUUUGACAGGUCGAACAUCUCCGGUGGCGUCUGCGUACGGACCUCUUGCAGCACAUUGCGUGCAGACUUGACGUUCAAAGUUGAGCCGCAACUCAUGGACACGUCGACGUCGUCCUCAUCCACGUUAACGCUAGCGGUGGGGAGGCUGGCUGGCAGCUCCUUCAUCUUUGCGGCUUUUCCCCAUUUACCACCAAGAUAUCUGGAAGAUGUAAUCCUACUACUACUCUCUUUACCAUCCUCGGCAUUGGUGUAA
rnacentral:rRNA from 1 species